UACGACUACAUAUCAGGCAUAUCAAUAAGCGGAGGAAAAGAAACUAACUAGGAUUCCCUCAGUAACGGCGAGUGAAGCGGGAAGAGCUCAAAUUUGAAAUCUUCAAGGUUUUACCUUGACGAAUUGUAGUUUAUAGAAGUGUUUUCUGUUAGUGGAGUUUGGUAAAAGUUCUUUGGAAUAGGACAUCAUAGAGGGUGAGAAUCCCGUAUUUGGUACCAUUACUUCCUAGCGUUGUGAUACACUUUCAAAGAGUCGGAUUGUUUGGGAAUGCAGUCCAAAAUGGGUGGUAAAUUUCAUCUAAAGCUAAAUAUUGGCGAGAGACCGAUAGCGAACAAGUACCGUGAGGGAAAGAUGAAAAGAACUUUGAAAAGAGAGUUAAACAGUACGUGAAAUUGUCAAAAGGGAAGCGUUUGACACCAGUGUUGUUUUCUCGAAAAUCAAUUAAAAAUGACCGGAUUUUGUGUUGUAUUGACUUUAUCAGCUUUCUGCACUUUUUUCUUGUCUUUUUUAAUGCACUUUUCGUUUAACAAGUCAACAUCAAUUUCUUUUGUUGUAAAAGGGUCAUUGGAAGGUGGCUUUCACUUCGGUGAAAGUGUUUAUAGCCUUUGACUUCUGCAAUCGGAGAGAUUGAGGUCAUGCAGCGUAGAUCCUUCGGGGUUAGAUACGAUUGUGCUAAGUUAUAGUUUUUCAUAGACAACAUGUUGACUAUGAUUAAUCAUGUAGCUUACUCGCUUAUGCUAUUUUACCUACGCUUAGGAUGUUGAAUCUGUGCGAGACUAC
rnacentral:rRNA from 1 species